UUGAACGCUGGCGGCAUGCCAUACACAUGCAAGUCGAACGGUAACAGGUUAAGCUGCCGCGUGGCGAACGGGUGAGUAAUACAUCGGAACGUGCCCAGUAGUGGGGGAUAGCCCGGCGAAAGCCGGAUUAAUACCGCAUACGACCUAAGGGUGAAAGGGGGGGAUCGCAAGACCUCUCGCUAUUGGAGCGGCCGAUGUCAGAUUAGCUAGUUGGUGGGGUAAAAGCUCACCAAGGCGACGAUCUGUAGCUGGUCUGAGAGGACGACCAGCCACACUGGGACUGAGACACGGCCCAGACUCCUACGGGAGGCAGCAGUGGGGAAUUUUGGACAAUGGGCGCAAGCCUGAUCCAGCCAUGCCGCGUGCGGGAAGAAGGCCUUCGGGUUGUAAACCGCUUUUGUCAGGGAAGAAAUCCUUUGGGUUAAUACCUCGGGGGGAUGACGGUACCUGAAGAAUAAGCACCGGCUAACUACGUG
rnacentral:rRNA from 1 species